rnacentral:rRNA from 1 species
GACGAACGCUGGCGGCGUGCUUAACACAUGCAAGUCGAACGGAAAGGCCCUGCUUUUGUGGGGUGCUCGAGUGGCGAAAGGGUGAGUAACACGUGAGUAACCUGCCCUUGACUUUGGGAUAACUUCAGGAAACUGGGGCUAAUACCGGAUAGGAGCUCCUGCUGCAUGGUGGGGGUUGGAAAGUUUCGGCGGUUGGGGAUGGACUCGCGGCUUAUCAGCUUGUUGGUGGGGUAGUGGCUUACCAAGGCUUUGCCGGGUAGCCGGCCGGAGGGGGUGACCGGCCACAUUGGGACUGAGAUACGGCCCAGACUCCUACGGGAGGCAGCAGUGGGGAAUAUUGCACAAUGGGCGGAAGCCUGAUGCAGCAACGCCGCGUGCGGGAUGACGGCCUUCGGGUUGUAAACCGCUUUCGCCUGUGACGAAGCGUGAGUGACGGUAAUGGGUAAAGAAGCACCGGCUAACUACGUG